AGUAGAUCUGUAUCUCCGCGAUUUUGCGAUAAAACAACUAGUGUGGUCAAAUGACCUACGCGUGCAGACAACCUGCAUCGUGUACGGAAUACGCCGACUGGCGAGACACUCUCUGGAAAACUGAAAACGUAUUAUUAUUGUAACAUCAUGGCUAAGUCCGUCGUGGUCCGUCGUUUCAUACCGCGUACUGAAUACUGUUGUUGCCACGUAGUACGUUA